UACGUAGGGGGCAAGCGUUAUCCGGAAUUACUGGGUGUAAAGGGAGCGUAGACGGUAAUGUAAGCCUGGAGUGAAAGGCGGGGGCCCAACCCCCGGACUGCUCUGGAAACUAUGUUACUAGAGUGCAGGAGAGGUAAGCGGAAUUCCUAGUGUAGCGGUGAAAUGCGUAGAUAUUAGGAGGAACACCAGUGGCGAAGGCGGCUUACUGGACUGUAACUGACGUUGAGGCUCGGAAGCGUGGGGAGCAAACAGG
rnacentral:rRNA from 1 species